rnacentral:lncRNA from 1 species
AUACUAGCUCGAUUAUCAGCCACUAAGUCAGGAGCAUACUUGGCCAACUGAUUGAACUUUAGAUAGUACUCCCUAACAGUCAUAGAGCCCUAUCGCAGGUUCAUAAACUCUUCCACCUUUGCCUCCCUCAUCUCCAAAGGGAAAAACUUAUCUAGGAAUGCAUCCUGGAACUCUUGCCAAGUUGUAGGGACAGUUCCCUUACCUCUACCUUUCCUCCAAGCAACAACCCAGUCAUAAGCAAGGU